rnacentral:rRNA from 1 species
AUUGAACGCUGGCGGCAUGCCUUACACAUGCAAGUCGAACGGUAACGGGCCUUCGGGUGCCGACGAGUGGCGAACGGGUGAGUAAUGCAUCGGAACGUACCUUUCAGUGGGGGAUAACGUAGCGAAAGUUACGCUAAUACCGCAUAUUCUGUGAGCAGGAAAGCAGGGGAUCGCAAGACCUUGCGCUGAUUGAGCGGCCGAUGUCAGAUUAGCUAGUUGGUGAGGUAAAGGCUCACCAAGGCGACGAUCUGUAGCGGGUCUGAGAGGAUGAUCCGCCACACUGGAACUGAGACACGGUCCAGACUCCUACGGGAGGCAGCAGUGGGGAAUUUUGGACAAUGGGGGCAACCCUGAUCCAGCCAUGCCGCGUGAGUGAAGAAGGCCUUCGGGUCGUAAAGCUCUGUCAGAUGGGAAGAAAUGGAUGGGGGCUAAUAUCGCCCAUCCUUGACGGUACCAUCAGAGGAAGCACCGGCUAACUCCGUG